GCAAGGCAUCUUCGGUCUGCAGUUUGGAUCUCGUUGUGUGCACAGCAGGCCAACUUGAAUGCAUCUUAGUGCUUCAUCCACCAGAAAUGCACCUCCAAGUAAGUUAUCUACUAGUUUUAAUGGAUUUGCUUCACUCCAAAGUUUCCAUGCCUGAAACAUGACCGUGUUCAUAGAUGGAUCGUAACUUUUGACGUACAUACUUAGAGGGUGUUUGGCUAUAAGCUUAAUUUAAAGAGCUUAUAAAAUGAGUGUUGCUAAUAAGAUAAUGAGAAAAUAAGUUGGGGUAGAUGAACUUAAUUUUUGGGGAGCUUAUAAGUUCUUAGAGCUUAUUUUGAGAGCUUAAGCUGAUUAGGAGCUUAUUUUGCCAAACACGUUGAAGGAACUUAUAAGCUCCUAAACAGCUUAUAAGCUCCUAAACAACUUAUAAGUUACUCCGUCUGUCCCACUUCAAAUGUCUCAAAACCAAAGGAUUGUUCUAUAGUUUUGAGACAUUUGAAGUGGUACAGAGGGAUAAGCUCAGCCAAACACCCUCCCUCUUAUAUGAUUGUUUGAUUUCAUUCAUACUUACAUAGCUAGGAAGGAACAUCAUGGCCUCCCCAUAAGCUACACUCCAGACUCUCCUGCCGCUUAGAAUCUCAAGGACUAUGAUUCCAAAGCUAUAGACAUCUGAUUUAACUGAAAGCUUCCCCUGCUCGAGGUAUUCUGGAGGCAUAUAGCUUCUGCAAAGACAGAUAAUACAAACUUGGUAAUAAAAUAAAUUUGGUAAUAAAAUAAAUAGAGAAGGAUCCUGAAUUUACGAGGUUGUCCCGGCUAUUUCUGUGGUUUCUAAUUCAUGUUGAUUUUCCUCCAGUGUCCUGGAAAACUCAAAGCCUGUGAUUUUAGGAUUCAUAUCAGCAUCCAAAAGAAUGUUUCUUGACUUGAGAUCUCUGUAAAUCACUCUCAGCCCAGAAUCUUGAUGAAGAUAAACAAGUCCUCGAGCGAUCCCAGUUAUGACUUUGAAGCGUACAGACCACAGAAGCCAUUGCAGGCGUUGAUCUCGAUGCUGUGCUGCAGCAAUGAAAGUAAAAGUUAGUAACUCAUCUCAUUUCUUUUCCAACAAGAAGAAAGAUUUGGAAGAGGUAGCAACCAACCUAUAAAAUUAUCUAGACUUCUGUUUUCCAUGAACUCGUAUACCAGCAACUUUUCAUCUCUAUGAGUGCAAUAGCCUAGUAAUUUUAUGACAUUCCGAUGCUGAAGAUGGGAAAGCAAAAGAAUCUCAGCUUUAACAUCCUCCAGAGCUUGUGAGGAUGUUGGUGAGUGCCUCUUAACUGCGACUACUUUUCCUGUAGGUAGCACAGCCUAUACAAAUGCAUAUAUGGUUUAGUUAGGGGGAAGGUUGUGAAACUUUGUUAUAAUGAGUGCUCAUUCAAGAAAUAACUCACCUUAUAAACCUUGCCAGAUCCUCCACGCCCAACUACAUUUGAAGACGAGAAACGAUUGGUGGCAGCUGCAAUUGUAGCCCAACUAAACUUGGGCAGUUGUAUGUCUGCGUCAAACGUUUCUGUUUUUCCAACAGAGACUUGAAUGUUGAUAGGAUCUUCUUUGGUUCUACCGUGGCGGGGUCCUGAUAAUAACAACUCCCUUUUCUUGGAUGGUUUAACUCUGUUCCAAAGCGCGCCCCAUGGACAAGGUCGUGAUGGCUUAUUCAUUAAUGAAUUUAUCCCGCGUUUCUUUUCUGAUGGAGCUUGAUGAGCACUGACAGCAUUGCUGUUAGCUUGUUGCAUUCUAGGCAGAGUGAGUUUCUGCUGGUAUGUUGAGGCAGUUGUUGUGUCAGUUUCAUCAUCAGGAACACUUUCUAUCUCAUUCGCCACCAAAUCUGGUUUGCUUUCCUGUUGCUCAAGUGCAAACUCUAGCUGUGUUACAGCUUGAGACAUUGUUGGUCGAUUUCUUGGUUCAUCAGAUAAGCAUCUUUCAGCAAUCCCAACAAAUGUGUUGAGGCUGUCUGGUCUAAUCUCCUCUCUCACACUUGGAUCAACAAUCUGAUUAACUUCCCCCUUCCUAAUCAUAUCUCGAGCCCACCACGACAAAAUAUGAUCAUCCCCUGCAACCCACGAAUCCACAGCUGCUCUUCCACAUAAGACUUCCAACAACACCACCCCAAAUGCAUAGGUGUCACUCUUUCUUGUUAGUCUACGCGUGCGGAAGUAACUAGGGUCGAAGUAGCCGAACGUUCCCUUGACAUUUGUGCUAACAUGGCUCAGCAUUCCAUCUUCGGUUUUGGCCAAUCCGAAGUCACAGACCUUAGCUGUGAAAUUUUCAUCCAUCAAAAUGUUUGAGGCCUUUACAUCACGAUGUAUAACUCCGUAGCUCGUGUGGAGAUAGUCUAGUCCGCGACCAGCACCAAUGCAGAUGUUGAGGCGUUGCUUCCAUGUGAGAUAAGAAUAGUUGAUGUUUUGCCUUGGUAGUUUGUAGAGAUGGUCAGCUAGUGUCCCUCCGCCCAUAUAGUCGUAAACAAGAAUCAUUUCUCUCUUCUCAUUGCAAUAACCAAUCAGGGAAACUAGAUUAACAUGUCGAAGCUGAGAAAGUGUUUCAAUCUCUGUCAAGAACUCAUGUGCUCCUUGUUUGGAGUUUGAUUUUAACCUUUUCACAGCAACAGUGUUUUGUCCGUUAUCAAUGAGGCCUUUGUAGACUUUACCAAAUCCACCCCUUCCAAUUAGAAGUGCCUCACAGAAAUUUCUAGUGGCUAAUUGGAUCUCAGCUAGUGAGAAAUGGCGACAGAGUUGUUCAGCCCUGGCUGAUGGUUUGUUUUCUUCCUCACUGCUGCUAGCUUCCCAACAUUCUCUCAGCUUAUGAACAAUGAUGUUUACCAGACAAAUUAGAGUGAUUGCGACAGCUGAAAUUGUAUCUCUAUGACCAGAAACAUAGUCCAAAUUUUGGAUGGUUAGUGAUGGAGAAUCCUGUGGACUGGCUAGACUGUUAUCGGUAUUGCUCAGCUUAGCUAUCUCGAAUCCUCCGAGCACUCCGUGUCCAUCUACGAGCUCAUCAUACGAGCGUAUGGAGAUGGAGAUAUCGCGUUUAGCCUCUCUUUUCAGCCCCCUCACUGUCAGCAUAUAGUCUCUAUAACGAAGUAUGCGAUUUCCUUCCCUUUCCUUCCCCAUGUCAAUACUAGUGAAAGCAACCAUUUCAUUAAUUAGGACGUCAAACAACACUUCUCCGGUCUCUGAAAUCUUGAGUCCGAGACCGGAGAAGUGAAGCCUGAUCAAGUAGUUGAACCCUACUUGGACUGCUAUUCUCCAUGUGCUGCUCUCCAUCUUCUCUGCUUUCUGAGUUGCCCACUUUGGAAACACGUCCAAAUCUUCGGAAAAUGGAACCGGAUCCUGUUUGAUCUUUACUCGAUGAACUAUCUCAAGUGCAGUGCUGUCGCCAACAAAGAUCACAGACCUCUUGCCAAGAACUUGGAGUCCACUAUCCCCGCCAUGAAAGUAAGAAAGGCUAUCUGGCACUGAGAUUAUCUCAAUGCCAUUAACAAAAGCAUAUGCAUGACUACUUUCAGGGGUGAAAAAUAUGUUCAGUUGUUCAUUUUCCUUCACAUGUAAACAGAAAUCCUUGACAAAUGAAUUGACACCAAGAGCAUCAGCAGUAAGAGAAGCGCUAAAAUUACUGAGCAAGAUAAAAGGUCCGGCUUCAACAGCGAAUAAGUCUUGUAGGCCGUUAAAGCCUUUGUAUGGAGCGGGUUUAAAAUGAAGGCGGAUGAUUUUCUGACCUGCAUUCACUUGAAAUACGUAGGAGAACUGCGAACGAGAGACUCUUGCCGUUGUGUAGGGAACUGGAUGAGCAAAGGCCGACUUCUGGAUGGGAGUCGACACAGUGGACGAGCCUUUCAACUGCAGCAAGGAAGAAAGCUUUGGUUGGUGUAUGUCUCCAUGCCAUUUUCUGCCAUUUUCUGCUACAGAAUGCUCUCUUGAGCCACAGUUGAUGGAAACAUCAUCAUUCCUAGCAGCUGCGGGAGUGACGAGGAAGCAGAGAAAUACAAGAAUGAGUGGAAUUCGACAGGGAUGCAUAGCUGUGCACUGAACCAGAGGAAUGGACAUUAGGUGUUAAAUGAUCAUUUUUGCACUCCAGCUGUUGCUGAGAUGCAGUCUUUAAGACAUAUUCUAUAUGAUUGGCUGUUUAAUCAAUUUAGUCCUCACUUUUCAUAUGUUUCAUACUCGUCGGUCACAGCAAUCUGUAGAUUAAAACAAAAUUGAGAGACAGAUCUUCUUGGAAAUUGAAAGUGCAAUUUCGUCUCAACAUAUAUGGGUCCUACGAUACUCGUACAAAUCCAUAAAUUUUCAUGCACGUAUAAAUUUUGACAUAAACUUUUGUUGGAUGUAGUAUGUUAAGGGUGCGUUUACUUUGAUGGAAAAUGAGAGAAAAAAUAUAUUUUCACUUAUUUUCCAUAAUUUUCACAUGUUUACUAUGAUGAAAAAUUUUCUGUGGCUAGGGUGGAAUAUUUUCUCGGGUAGCUCAUUUUCUCACCAAUGUUAAUAUUAUCCUAGGGUAAGGGUGUGAAAAUAUUUUUCAACAUUUUCUCAUCUUUUCAUCUUUUCUUAUCCAUCAUUUUCCAAUGAAAAUUUUACAACCAAAGUAAACGCACCUUGAGAGACUAAAAGUACAUUCUUGUCUAUAUCAUAUGUAAUAAUUCUUUUCUGGAAGAGUAUUAGUUCUUGACAUUACUGUCUUCUUGAAAGUGACAUAUAUUCUGAACUUUUACAUUCAGAAGUUUCCAUCUCUAUUUAACUACAUUGACCAGUGGCAGCAUAUAUAAUUUUUUUCCCCAACUAAAACUGGCGGUGCAAUUUCUAUAUUAGCUGUCAAAGGUGUGGUGGAACAGAUUUUCUUCUCAUCACUGCUCCUUCCAGACAUGAUCAACAAUCUAGAAGUUUGGAUAACAUGAAUGCCUCUUCCUAUGAGUAUGCACAUCCCAACUCCAGUAGACCGGCCCUCCUCUUCCAGAACACGAGCCCGGUUCAACGGGGGUAAUGAUCGAUGGCGAAGACAAUUGCAGAGAAGUAUGAUGUCGAAUUUGAUGUGUAGAAAGUCGAGAUAAAAGAGAUAAAUACUUGAGUAAGAAGGUAUACAAAUUCUUAUCAUUUGAGCAAUGCAAAGAUGUAGACUCUGAUUUGUUGGUCAAGGUCACCAUGUGUUGCAAGUCAAAUACAUGGCUUACAGUAAGAGGUGAGCUGUAUAUAAGUGGAACCCUCUUUAGA
rnacentral:lncRNA from 1 species